CGCAACCCUUAUUGCUAGUUACCAUCAUUCAGUUGGGGACUCUAGCGAGACUGCCAGUGAUAAACUGGAGGAAGGUGGGGAUGACGUCAAAUCAUCAUGCCCCUUAUGACCUGGGCUACAAACGUGAUACAAUGGCUGAAACAAAGGGCAGCGAAGCAGUGAUGUGGAGCGAAACCCAAAAAGCAGUCUCAGUUCGGAUUGAAGUCUGCAACUCGACUUCAUGAAGUCGGAAUCGCUAGUAAUCGCGGAUCAGAACGCCGCGGUGAAUACGUUCUCGGGGUUU
rnacentral:rRNA from 1 species